GCUUAGAGAGGGGUCAAUGUCCUAUCAGCUAGUUGGCAGGGUAAUGGCCUACCAAGGCUAAGACGGGUAGCCGGCCUGAGAGGGUGGUCGGCCACACUGGGACUGAGACACUGCCCAGACUCCUACGGGAGGCUGCAGUCGAGAAUCUUUCGCAAUGCCCGAAAGGGUGACGAAGCGACGCCGCGUGUGGGAAGAAGGCCUUCGGGUUGUAAACCACUGUCGGGAGUUAAGAAAUGUAAGGGUGUUAAUAGCAUCCUUGCUUGACUAAGGCUCCGGAGGAAGCCACGGCUAACUCUGUGCCAGCAGCCGCGGUAAUACAGAGGCGGCAAGCGUUGUUCGGAAUUAUUGGGCGUAAAGGGCACGUAGGCGGCUUUGUAAGUCAGUUGUGAAAGCCUUCUGCUUAACGGAAGAACAGCAUCUGAUACUGCAAGGCUAGAGUACGGAAGGG
rnacentral:rRNA from 1 species